GGUCCCUAAAAAAUAUCUGCUUCCCAAACACCAGCUCAACACUUUCCAGAGAACCCAGCCCGUGAGUGUGGGUGCCAAAUCCCAAGGGGUGAAAUGGGGCCUUGGGACUGGACCACUCUGCCCUGGUGGCAAAGGGGCCCCAGUCACUGGUGGACUGGCCUUGGAAAGGAAGGGACAAGAGGCAAUCCUCCUAAUGAGCAGAGCUUUGAGCAGUGCACAGGGUCACCACACUGUGGAAAGAGAAGCAGUCUGAGAUUACAAUUCAUCCAUAGUCAGGGGAGAAUGAAAAGCAGUGCUGAGAUCUUCAAGAAACCGACAAGUGCCAUUUCUUCAUCAUGGAAAGAAAGAGUGGCCUAGAGAAGUUUGCCCCUUUUCCUCUUCUGGUUUUGCAGUGACCUCAGAAUCCCCAAGCCACCAGGAAAAUACAGUCAAGAAGGGCCAAGGAACCAGAAGAUAAUGCCCUUGUGACCAAAAAUUCUUAUAAAAUUGA